rnacentral:rRNA from 1 species
GACGAACGCUGGCGGCGUGCUUAACACAUGCAAGUCGAGCGGAAAGGCCACUUCGGUGGUACUCGAGCGGCGAACGGGUGAGUAACACGUGAGUAAUCUGCCCCUGGCUUUGGGAUAGCCACCGGAAACGGUGAUUAAUACCGGAUAUGACCACUUCACGCAUGUGAUGGUGGUGGAAAGUUUUUCGGCCAGGGAUGUGCUCGCGGCCUAUCAGCUUGAUGGUGAGGUAAUGGCUCACCAUGGCUUCGACGGGUAGCCGGCCUGAGAGGGUGACCGGUCACACUGGGACUGAGACACGGCCCAGACUCCUACGGGAGGCAGCAGUGGGGAAUAUUGGACAACGGGCGGAAGCCUGAUCCAGCAACGCCGCGUGAGGGAUGACGGCCUUCGGGUUGUAAACCUCUUUCGCCUGUGACGAAGCGCAAGUGACGGUAACAGGUAAAGAAGCACCGGCCAACUACGUGCCAGCCGCCGCGGUAACAC